UGGUGAUGUUUUGAAUGCAGACCACCAUUACGUGUUGUGAUGUCAUGAUCUAUUUGAUCUAUUUCCUGGUAUGUCCUGGCGUUUAUAAAAUUGAGUGUUCGUUCACCAUAAGAUACGUAGAAAUAUGUCUCUAUAUUUUCAAUCCACUCUGAAUAGUAAAAUCAUAAUGGAGGCACGGGACAGCAAAAAAACAAAACUUACCCAGCUACUGUUAGUAUUAAUGCUUCAUGCUAAUAGGUGCCAAUUACGAGACGACCAGAACAUGCAACAUAAUUGUUCAUUGCCUUAUUGUCGUAAAAUGAAGAAUGUAUUACAGCAUUUGCGCGUAUGUACGGCUGGAAAGUGUUGUCUAGUUGCCCACUGUUUUACCUCUCGCCGAAUAAUAACUCAUUGGAAAAUUUGUACCAGAACUGAUUGUCCGGUGUGUAUACCAAUAAACCGCAUAUUCCCUGCUCGGCGCAGGUCAUCACCAAGAGAUACUGAAGAAUGAGACAAGAGACUUCCAAUGUGAACUUUUAACGAUUCACAGGGUUGGAUUAAGACCUACGGGUCCCUUUAUGGGCUUAUAAGGGCUUAAUACAUUUUGAUGCUCCAUAUAUAAUGUAAUUAACAAUAUACACAAUAAUAAACCACUAACUGUUAAACACGUUCCAAAUAUAAUUUUAACACAUAGACCAUUGCUACGAUAGAUGCAUGACGAAGAUUUCGAGAAACGGAAGUGACGAAAGGAAAAGGAAAACACAGGAGUUAUCCUUCUAUAUAAUUGACUUAAGUAAGGAACGAUAACAGAAAUACAGGCGAAUUUCUGCUCACUAACAAUUCCUUCGAAGACCAGGAAAAUAGAAAUAUAGUCUCAAAUAAUAAAACCACUUUAAAAUUUACUUGGCCUAAAAAACAUCUGGUAGGAUGGAAUGUUUAAGCAACAAAUAUAUUUUCUUCGCUAAUUCAAUUGUGUAUUUUCAAGCAAUCGUUAUGUAUAUAGGCUUUCAACUGCCAAGAAAAUAUAUAUGGCUUUAUCAAUGGAUAAAUGAAACGUUUAAUCUCUGAAAAUUAUUAUAGGUCUAUAAGUACAUAUAUUAUCUAUCAAUGAGCAAAUGGCUUUAUAGUCAAGAUAGUAAUGGUAUUAUGUACUUGUGAUAAACUUCUUACAUAUUUCUAAACUUAAAAUCUCAUUUAUAUAAUAUAUUGAUGGCGUCAAAUUAUAUCUGUAAUAAAUUAUACGCAUAUAGCUAUAAACACAUUCUAUCAAUAAAUAUAAGACUUCACAUCUGUACUAAUCGUAAUGAUAUUUUAUUUACUUAUGAUAAACUUUUAACACGUCGUGGUAACGACCCCAGAUUUGUACAUGAUAGGGAUUAUGGUUGAGGUCGCCAGGCAAACAUUGUUCUUUUCCUUCACCAUUCUUUCACUGUUAAAGAGUCCUGUGUUGAAACAAAUUAUUGAAAUAAAGAUAUUUCAUAAUACGCUAGUUCCAUAAUGACUUAGUUUUUCUUGGGGUGACCAUAAGCCACGUUUCUCAGCAGUUUUACUUUGGUGAAUGAUUGAAUGGAAUGGGGAGGGUGGGGGUGUAACGCCCUACUUUUCUGCUCCAACCUAAAACCUAAUUAAAGUGUACAUACGUCAUGCAGUUUGUGAUGAGGGAAGAAAUUUUGCACGAAAAGCAAGUGGGACCCAAAUGUUAAUGGUUCGUUUACGUACACACCAACGUCUAAAUGAGACUUUCGGUUUUUCGUCCCAUCCGAACACCCCAGACCUCCUGGUUAGUGUGUCUGUGCUUUACUCACUGAUCCACGUUUACUUUGAUGCAGAUUCAUUGCGACAGGUAGAAGUAUUCUCCGAUCUUUAAACCUAUAAUUUGACUCAACAUGACAUGAUCUAGAGUGAUAAGGGUGACCUCGACUGAUAAGCUAGUCUAAUAUGUAACACGUGAAUAACAAAAAUGUUCAUUAGUCAUAAUAGUAAUGUCUAUAACUUAUUAUGAAGCCCAUAGGAUAUGGUUAUGAUCAUUAGUAAUCAACUUUAACUAUUGAGGUUGUAAUUUUUAUAAGAGAUAUGGAAAGUCCUAACUAUGUAGAUGCUGUAGUCGGUGUUAUCAUGUCUGCUUUAUUUAUAGGGGUGCUAGUUUUUGCGUAUUACACAGAGUAUGAAGUGUCAUGUUUUAAAGAGGACUUUCAACCAACACCAGUUGAAGUGUAUAAAAUCAGUGGAAUUGAUAAUAAAGCUUGUCAAAUAUCUUUAGAUAGUCGCUAUUAUCUACCCACUUAUGAAACAUCGGUUUGAAGGAACCAAGUAUGAAUGAGUUCUGUUCGGGACGAUGCUCUGCUAUUAGAAGAGAUAUUAGACGACGAUCUGAUAAGCAAGCACCUCACCACCUGAAGUGUGACAGGAAUAAUAAUUGUAAAAAGUGUGCUGGGAUUCAGUUUGAACGGGUGAUGCUAGUAAAUGUUGUCUGUAGACAAUUCAAUUGAAGUGUAUACAAUCAUUGUGGUGACAAUACAGCUUGUUAGAUAUCUGAUAGAUAAUUUCUAUAUAUUAUAAUGAUGCAGUUUCCACGGAAUGAAUCGACCACAGAAAGUGUUAUCUCAAUAUAUCAAUGUCGAUUGCAUUGGAUUGUAUAUGUUGUUUGUUGAAUGACCAUUUGUCACUUUACGUUUGUAGAUAAAGCUAAUCGAUUUUGUGUUCCAAAAUGACAUGGGAUAAUACGACACUAUUACCCGACAACACGACCUUAUAACUAGUUGCGUCACACCCGGAAAUUUCGAGAAGAAGUUAUGGAUCAACCACAUUAAAGAUCUUUGGAUUGUUUAACAUAAUAUGUCACGUAAAUUCUGUGGAUGGAAAAAUCUUUUAAAGUUUACAUGUAUUAUUAUUAUGUUAUUCAGGACAAUUUCAUGUGUUGGACCUUUAAUCUGUUUGGUAACAGACAGUGAUGUCAUCACAUCAUCUUUACUAUUAAAACUUCAGAAGCUAAUAAUCUCAUAUUUUAUAAGAAAUUACACAUAUUUAUUAACAUUUUUUCAGAAGAAAAACAACAAUUUGAGAUCACGGUUGUUUAUAAUUCAGACGACGUUCACCAUUUCGAGAAGCCAUUAUGGCUCAGUGAGGUCCCGUGUUCGAGAAAGUUCAUCUUGAUUUUCUGGCGUGGUUCCCUUGUCAGAUAGCCGUUCGGAUGCGCCGAAAAACCGAGGUCCCGUGUACACAUAGCGUGCAUGUAAAAGCUUACCAUGCAACAUGACGAAACACGUUAGUGUGUAAGAUUCAGGGGAAACAACUCUGUUAUGUACAGUGGAUAUGGUUAACACAAGUAAUUCUCUCACCCAUUAGAUUAAAUGUUAAAUCCAUGAUAUUUUCGUUGCCAAUAACAUAUUUUUGAACAUUCUGGUGAUCUAAAUCUGUAUAACCAAAAUGAGCCCAACAUGUCACAAUCAUAGAAAUAUAAUUAUACAGCCAGCUUUGGUUCUAUGCCGGGUCAAAUGAAUCUUUGAAAUGAAAUGAAAUACGUCAUCUGAAACCACUGUCAUAAAUGUAUUUAAACAGGCAUUAUGCAAGAGCUAAAUCUGCCUAUUGCAGGUCUUUCUUUAGGCCUUAAAUGUUAUAUAAAUUAUUAAUUAGACAUUAAUUAACAUGACAAGACUAUAAUCAACUCUCGAUGCCAUCGAAUGGCUCCGAUUUUAAGUAGAUAACAACGGUUCAGCCAUUUAAUGAUUUAAUUUAAAAAUGGAUAAUCGAAACUUUGUUUAUUAUCUUAACAACGGUAGCAAUGACAAUCGAGGCCACGCCGUUCUUCUAACGGUGUCUUACAUAGGCUAAGCCUGAACCCCAAUCCCAUUCAGUCAUCCUGAAUAAAAUAUUGUUUAAAACAAAACCGCGAUAACUCGACUCAGAGUGAAUUAUUUGACUGAAAUUUUCAACAUAUUCUCUUUUUAACUAUUAUAGCGAGAAAUGUCAGCUCUGUAUCUAAUAUACUAUUUAAUUAAACAGCUUAUUUAUUUGAAGAAUAAACCUAUAUCAAAAGGA